GCAAACUUGGUCAUUUAGAGGAAGUAAAAGUCGUAACAAGGUUUCCGUAGGUGAACCUGCGGAAGGAUCAUUAAUGAAAUGUCAAGUCGGCAGACUGUGCUGGCACCGUCAAAGGUGUAUGUGCACGUCUGUCGCAAAUCCACACACCUGUGCACCUUAGACUCUGAGCGAGUGGCUUGUACGAGCCGCACCUCGGAGUAAUUUUACACACGCUGUAUGUAGAAGGAUGUUGUAGUGCUCAUGCACAAAAAACUAUACAACUUUCAACAACGGAUCUCUUGGCUCUCGCAUCGAUGAAGAACGCAGC
rnacentral:misc_RNA from 1 species